ACAAGCUAAGAGAUACAAAGGGAAACGUGUGACUGCUCUGACAGCAAAAACAAGCAAAUAUCUCCAGAGGGGAUUAAUCCCUCUGCUUCAAAGUAACCAAAGCAAGGGAAGUGGAGCCAGCUUCGCUAGGAACAACACCUGUCUGUCAGACAAGGGGGAACUAAU
rnacentral:lncRNA from 1 species